ensembl:lncRNA
AUUUUACAACAUCUCCAUUUCUGAAGUGUUCUUUGACCUAUUGUUGAGAACUAGACAUAGGCUAUGAUGAGCUUAGAAACAGAAAAUACAAAGCAACCCUUUCCCUUUGUCUGUUUUACAGGGUGUUCAGUGCCUCACCCAUACUGCAGAUCUGCCAGAUGCUGGAUGCAGUCUUCCAACCCUCACAGGACUGACAGAGCAGCUAGUGUUACCACUCAAGAAAAAGGCAGAACAAUGUCUGAAUCUGUAUCUACAAGCAAUCGCAGAGGAAAGAUGCCAAAAACUCAACCUGGCUCCUUCAGAGGCUGCAAAAGUUGCUCCAGGUAAUUAGAUAUUAUAGCAUGAGAGUAGAGUUUAUAAACAAGAUAAGUUCACCAUCUUCAUUAUUGUGGCUGUUGUCACCCCCGUGGCCAGGAUAUUGUGGAGAGUGGACCACCAGGAUUAAACCUUUCCACAUCUCAUCGAGGAUGGGAGGAAGACCAGGUGAGACCUGAGACUCACACCCUGGUUAUUUUCCAAGUGUGUCUGCCACAUGUUCCUGGCCCUGCUCUGGGCCCUCUGGGCUCUAUAACCACAUUACCAAGCUUCUAUUCCUUUGGCUUCUUAUUGAGUUGGG